GAAUUGAUUGGUAUGCUAGCAGGUCAGUGAGGAAAUAAGCCCAACUAAAAAAAGGCCUGCUAAUUACUAAACAAGCAUCUCAUAUUGAAAAAAAGGCUCUUUGACUGAUAUGAAUCAUAAUCAUUUGCUGUCAGAUGACUGUGGGAUUACACAACAUGAUGCUUUAUUCUGUGAAUAAACUUAGAUCUACCACCUGAUCCCCAUUGUUUUCCUUGGUGUUACCCAACUAAUAGUCAAAUUAUUAUGAACUCCUGAUGUUUUUUUUAGGUGUACUCUGUCCUUGCGCAAAGUACAUAAAAAUAUCCUUAUGGAGAGAGGAGGGGGGGGGGGGAGACUAUGCAAAAAUUUCUUUGUAGAGGUGGAAUAGUAGAAAAGGAUGAUACUAAGUUAGUCAAGCACUUUUUGAAUUCUUAAAAAAUCAUAUAAAAGAUAUAUUUCACUGUGAAUGCAAACUUGCCAUGGAGAUCAAGUCUUUCCACUUUGUUGCUAAAACUGUUCCCUGUUUUUCUCUUGACUGUUGAGGCUUGGUGUCCAUUGGUUUUGCCAUUUCAUGGCAACUAGCUUUGUGAUUUCUUGCUUGAAGGAACCAGUUUUUAAGGAGCUUCCCUUUCACAAAAAUGUGCAUGAUUCUCUUAUAAUCUUUCAUUUUUUUUGAGUCCACGACAUUUCCUAACAAUUGGUUUUCGUAAGAUAUUUGUUGCCCUUGCCAUAUCAUUAAUCAGCUCUCCACUAUUUUUUGCUCUAGUGUGUACAACUCUAGUGCAUCUUUCUUUGUAUUCAUUUCUGAAGCCGAUAUUUUACUACACAUUUAUCUCAACAUUUCAUUUUUGCUACACUCAUUUUGUCAUUUGGUCUCUUCUCUCUUUCUACCCAAGCUUUCUACACUGCAGAAUUUCAGGCCUCAUUGCUACAUAGGAAUCUUAGUCUACUCGCCAAGAAAUUUAUUGAUGACACAAGGCUGCCCAAAAGCAAGUUUUUUAUGUUGCUGAACAAAAUUAUUCACCCUGCUUCCUAGAUCAAAAAUCACCUCCAAUUUUGCUUCCUCUAGCUAGUCUCAGCCACAAGUCAAUCCCUGGGAAAUCCAUGUCUGCAUGCCCCAGGUUAUUGAUACCCAUAACACAUGUUUUGAGUUGAUAGAGAGGACAAAACCUUUCAUUUCAUUAAAUAGCAUUGUGGGAGAAUGCUCAAAACCGUUUCAUCCUCCAAAUAGAUUGUUUGCGAGAAAUCUAACAAUGAUUUUCCUUUAUUGACUGUACCAUGACUUUGAGGUAAAAAAAAAAAAAACAACAUUAGGCACAUGAAUAUCCAAAUAUUUUUUUUAGGAUUAUGUUUUUGAUGAGAGAGAUGCUCUGGCUAGGUGGACUGAAGAGAAAAUAACUGGUUUAGUAAUAGAGACGAGCAAUAGUCGGAAGAGGUGCUACAUCAGGAUUCAAAGAAUCAGUUGACAGGAUUGUAAAUAAUAGGAUGUUAGAGUAUCGAAAGGAAAAAAAGGAAGUACCAAGUUGUAACUUGCUAGUACCAAAACUGAGUGGAGAAGAAAGAGAUGCAAUAAAUUGAUCAAAUAUAAAAGAAUGAGGAUAACUAUAUUAUUUUAUUGGUGAAAAAAGGAUGUAAGAGAUCGAGAUAGUAGUUCAUGUGGCAAUCCUAGUGCCGUUUCAUUUGCUCUAUGAAGCAAAUGACACGAUACUAAUAUGUGAUACAACAAAUCUUGAGAAAGUAGGAUACUCUAUGGCUAGGAUACAUCAAGGAAUACAUACACACAUAUAUGUAUAUAUGCCUAUCUGUGUGUGUGUGUGUGUGUGUGCGCGCGCGUGUGUGUGUGUAUGUAUUUUGUACAUAUAUACGUGCAUAAGUACAUAGACACAUAUGUAAGUAUAUAAAAAAGGCAUACACAAAGCACAGUGGUCUAUCAAAAUAACAUAUUCCAUAUUUUGCAUUGUAUUGUUAACUUUUACAUGCUCGUUAUUAGUUAUUAUUUCAUAGAUCAUGAUCCAAAUUUAUAUUUCAAUAGUAAUAUCAAUAGAAUACAAAAUUGAUCCCCCCUUAUUUUUGGAGGUAUCAAGGAAGUAUCUAAAGUAUAUCCGGGAAGUAGCUAAAGUUUUUUUCUUUUUUCCUUUUAAAAUUUUAAAAAAUAAGAUACUUAACAUGAGUAUCAGAGACAUAUUCAGUAAGUAUCUCACAAGUAUCAGUAUCCAAUACAGAAACUAUAAGGACAUGGUAUGUGAUUCAAAGUCUCGAUGCUUCCUUGGCACCAAUGUUCAUUCUGUGGACCUGAUGAUAUUAUUUUGGACAGAUCGAAUGCAUCCAAAAAGAAUAUGCCUUUAGGCACGAUCCUGAGAAGUUCAAGCAGCUACAAGAAGGCGAAACUUUUGGCAUCUCAAUCACAAGCUGACUCUGAAAGCCAGCCUGUUGAUAUAGUCCUCGAAACUCAACCCGACUAUACCGCACCAUAAAAUGCUUUGCAGUUUUGUGAGUGAAUCUACUGCGGUCCUCCACCACCUAGGACACCUGGUUUCUGUGGCCCUGCAGAGAAUCAGAGAGUUGUUCUGCUCUAAUUUUGUUUCACCUUGCUCUUGCACCAACUUUUGACAGCCAGUAAAUUAUGAGGAUUAGAGCUUGUAUUCAUGUAUUCUGUGAUGCUGGUUGAGGUUUUAAAUUGAUAGUGAUUCAUCUUUUGUUGGCGAAUCAUAA